CAGUAGUGUACCGUUAACAGUUCUCGUGUUACCGUUGGCGCCAGUGUAGUCUGUUCAUGGUGUCCCGGAGGUACUGACCAUUGAGUGACCACAAGGCCUUGACCUGUGUGUGACACUUGGCCACAUUCACACAUUCACAGUGUGUCCUGGUGUGAUGUGAUACGUGAUUAAAGACAAACUUUCCUCAACAACUCUCCAGCCUACAGCUUUUGGUCAACCAGCGAGCGUUAAGCUUUUGUUAAAGUAAGCAGCAAAAAGCGCUCGGUUAAAGAGGGAGUUUAGAGCUGGUGGCACUUCAGACAUCCUCAGGUUGUCAUCGUCUACCAAAAAAGAGUGAAGAACAUUGCUAGGAGCAAGAGCAGUAUCUGACGAAGACAUCAGCUGUAGCAAGAUCAGCAGCCAGAGGAGUGCCUGAGAACAGCAGCAGGAUCAGAGGAAGAAGCUGCACACCCAUCAGUACUCUACAGCAGCAGCAGUUGUGGCGAGAGCCAACGAUGAGUCAACACCACAAUGGCCACAGAAAAUCACACAACAAGAAAGUCAGGAUUAACAGGGCGAGGAAGAGGCAGAGUUUGGUGACGACGUCUGCUGUGUUGCGGCUGUUUAUUGUGAUGGCUGCUACGGCCUACCUGUUUCCAGCUAAUCUGUCCUCAGCUUAUCUAACUGAUGAAGAAGGUUCUACGCAGUGGGAGGUGGUUGCUCCUACGGGCGUGGAUGGUGUGGAUCCUGG